rnacentral:pre_miRNA from 1 species
CAUGUACUCCCUCCGUUCCUAAAUACUUGUCUUUCUAGGCAUUUCAACAAGUGACUACAUACGGAGCAAAAUGAGUGAAUCUACACUCUAAAAUAUGUCUACAUACAUCCGUAUGUAGUAGUCAUUUGAAAUGUCUAGAAAGACAAGUAUUUAGGAACGGAGGGAGUAUAAA